UUGCUGCGCACUUCCAUGGACAAUCUGCUGCGGUUGCAGCCUCAUGCAUUUGAGGAAAUGAGGUCCGGAGGAGGAACUUGUUUCUGCCAACUCACCUCUUCAUUGCCAUCUACCAGUUCCUGCCUUUCAUUAAGCUCUGAUGUUCCUUAUAAAUAAAUAAAAAUGUGUUAACUCAAUUGAUUAUGCCCUCUAUUUUAUGAGAUGUAUGUGGUGUGCAAACAAAAGUCUUGUAACCUUUAUUGUAAUGAUUUGACCACUAUGACGGUAUGUUGGUUGUGGUAUAUGUUAUCAAUAUUGUAAUUGGUUUUUGACAAAAUAUUGGUUUGGAGUGUGCGGUUGCCUGGUACCAUGGUUGUUACUUGGUACAAAUAAUAUGGAUGAUUUACGACCAUCUAGUGGGGAGUCUGAAAACUGCUAACGAAACGUCAUUGAAGUGAAAAUAAAAUAAAUCAUUCGUACUGUUGUAAAUUCAAAAUGAAUUUAAAUAGGAAAGCUAAACGUUGAAGCACAUAGGGCAAAACACUCCAGUAGCACUAGGCAUGCUAGCCAACAGUGUGUCGCGCUGGUAGAGGCUAGCUAGCUAAAAAAAAUCUCAAGAAUUACAAUAUAUUUCUAGAAUAAAUAUUAAUUUAGCUGAGCUCAUAAGACACUAGCACACUUACUGUGCAUGUCAGUUUCAAUUGCUUGGCUUUAAAAAAAUCUCUGAUGUCCUGUCCACUCCUUUUUGACAUUUUUCUGUAUAAUUAGCAAAAUUAUAGGAUCAGAGAAUGUCGGGCUCUGGUUGUAUCGCUAUCUCGUCUUUUUUCAGUUGUGACUAGAUGUCCCCUCUGCGGCACCGUAGUUGUGGAUUAUUUUCGUAUGAGGCGCCAGCCUGACUUGGACAAUGAAUGAGAUAUUAAUACCAAUACUCUAUGGCUGGUAUGCAAUGAUGAGGCAUCAGACAGUCAAUUAAUUUUAGCCUGAAUACAUAGGUAAAAAGCACCAGACCGCUAGUACCAUGGAUGGACAGUGUCAGAGCGAAAACCUGUUGAACUAAAUGGAUGUGGUUAGGCAGCAGGCACGCAGGCUACACCGCGGGAUACAUCUGCAGACCACUGGCACGUUAAUAAAGUAAGAUGCGAUAUUUAAUGCUUAAGAUUUGCUGGUACUUUGGCGAGAUCUUUUGUGUUUUUUGCCCUCAUGUGGUCAGCUGUUUUAACUUGAAAUAGUACUACUAGCCAUAGCCUCCAAGUAGCCUAACUUAAAUUAUCCAGUGUUAGCGUUCUUACGGUGUUGGGUAUAGACUAGUGGAGAUUACGAUAGUGGAGUCGGUGGAGUCAGUCUCUUGUUGACUCAAAGUGACUUUUGGUCAUU
rnacentral:lncRNA from 1 species